CCUACGGGAGGCUGCAGUGAGGAAUAUUGGUCAAUGGGCGCAAGCCUGAACCAGCCAAGUCGCGUGAGGGAUGACGGUCCUAUGGAUUGUAAACCUCUUUUGUCGGGGAGCAAGUCCCGCCACGUGUGGCUGGAAGGAGAGUACCCGAAAAAAAAGCAUCGGCUAACUCCGUGCCAGCAGCCGAGGUAAUACGGAGGAUGCGAGCGUUGUCCGGAAUUAUUGGGUUUAAAGGGUGCGUAGGCGGAAGGUGAAGUCAUCGGGCAAAUGUCGGUGCUAACCACCGUCCUGCCGUUGAAACUGGUAUUCUUGAGUGAGCGAGAAGUAUGCGGAAGGCGUGGUGUAGCGGUGAAAUGCAUAGAUAUCACGCAGAACUCCGAUUGCGAAGGCAGCAUACCGGCGCUCAACUGACGCUGAGGCACGAAAGCGUGGGGAUCGAACAGGAUUAGAUACCCUUGUAGUC
rnacentral:rRNA from 1 species